GGCUGCAGAGAAAGCGGUUGCUCUGAUUAGAGUGGGAUGCGAUGUUUGCAGGGACGUUCGUUUAUCGGGAUGAAAGGCCAUAAUUGCCGACCUUCCCAGUGACCGAACAAAGGGGCUCGUCUUCUCCGGCGGCGUUUCUGCUUCCGUGAAGUGCCAUCGUGGGGAAAUCUUCAGAGAUUCCUAGCUCCCAGUUUCUUUCCUUCCAUCAGGUGCAAUUUGAAUCAUGGAAAUUCUUCCAAAUUCUCCUUGUUGCAGAUGUCUGGAUAAUUCAAUUUAGGACUAUCUUUGUCAGGGAAGGUUCCAUCUAGUUUAUUCAAUGCCACGUUUGACAUGAGGAACAGUUGGAAGAAAGAUGCAGCUUGUACCAAAAGCCUUACAUUUGAUGGUUGGUUCAUAACCUUGUAUAGUGUUGAAUUUGAUAGAGCCUGCGUAGCCCUCUCUGAGCAUGUGCAAAACCAAGUGCCUGUUUCAUGGAACCCUACUGCCCUUGCUGAGCUUAUUGAGAAAUAUGGUACCCAUAUUGUUGGGAUGAAGAUGGGAGGUAAGGGUGUUGUUCAUGUAAAGCAGUUCAGAAGUUCACAUCUUCAAUCCACUCAAGUGCAGAAAUUACUUAAGAAAGAAGCUGAUGAGAGGUUUUCUGAGGAUAAGAAUGGAGGUUUCAGUGCUGAUCAAUCUGAAGCAUCAGUAACAUUCAAGAUAAUAGAGAUGAGCCAUGGAAGGUCGAUGUAGCUCUUGCUGCUACUGUUAGACCAGUUGCAAAAAGUUACUCAACCAAUGAGGAUCUCAUAAGCAUUUCUGUUCAGAGAGGGAGGUAUUGUUGGUAUUCACCAGCACCAAAAGGAGUGGCUUUCUACUAUAUCACAGUCACCUGAUGCUAUAUCAAUGUUGUUUGUCCCUGUUACUUCACUACUCAGUUCCAGCUCAGGCCAUGGGUUCCUUAGCCAUGCAAUGAAUUUGUAUGUCAGAUGUUGACUCUGGAAUAUUUGCUAGUUCUUGGAAGGCAGAAAGAGUGACAGGCUAGCUAUCCAUCUCCAGCAUCUUUCAAAUCUUCCCCAAAAUCCUUAAAAUCUCGUAUGAGCUUGGUUGUGAAUCUAAUGAUGUGCCAAUUGAUAAAGCCUGCCUUGAACUGGUGAAGUGGAAAAUGUUUUCACAUGUCUACACAGCACCGGUAUUGUACAAUAGUUCCCUUGAGGAUGAGCUCCAAGCCAUUGUAACGAAAGCUUGGCUUGAGGUCAAGCAUGUGAAAAGGAGAAAAGUUCAUUGAUAUGAAAAUAAUUAAGACAUGCGUUAUUUAGGUAGUUAGUAUCUAAUAAAAGGUGGUUAAGUCAUUUUCUUUUCUUUUCUUUUUUUUUUUCUGUUGUUGCCUAUUCUAAGGAUGUUCUACCUUAAUCCUAUAAAUACUAGGAUCCCUCUCAAUUGUAACUAGCCUGAUGAUGAUAAUGAAACAUAUUAUUCAGAUUAUUCUCUGAUUCUCUCCCUGAAUACCGUCUGUUUCUCUCUUUCUUCCUGAAUUCCCCUUCUUUCUCUUCAGUUCUAUCCUAUCUCUCUUCUCUAUUCUAUCUCUUCUUCCAUUUUCAUGUCAAUGGUAUUAGAGCUUUCAUUAUUUGGCCAUUCUCUCAUCUUCUUUUGCAUCUUGACGGUGUACAGUGAAGACCUGCAGUCAGAACAAGCAAAGAAUGGAGGAAAGAUUACAAGAGAAUAAGCAAAUGACUUAAUUACCCUUUACUAGAUACUAACUACCUAAAUAACGCAUGUCUUAAUUAUUUUCAUAUCAUUCUUCAAUUGACGCUUGUGUUUUCCUUGGUAGAAUCAGCAGAAAUUUACAAAUCAGAAUGGGAUGGAUCUUCGAUUCCAUUUCGAAAGUCAGGAAUCAUUUCGGCAUUGAUGAGCACAAUGCUUACCAAGGAACUGCAUCAUGUGAUUGAGAAUGAAAAGCCUACUCAAGAUAGCGUAAAACCUAUAGUUUAUAAUGGUGAGUAUGGUACUGAGGCUCCUAUCCGAAUAAAAGCUCAAAAAAUGCUCAGCUUUGUAGAUAACUAGAUAUGAAGGAAAAGGUUAGGGGUCCAGAAGACACGCCUUGAUAUUAGGUUGUCACUGGAGCCAAACUCUGUAUAGAGAGAGGCAAAAUCUCCAUCAAUGCCAGGUAUUCCUUGUUGGCUAUUAUGUCAGAAGAUUUCGUGCAUACAUGAGAAAGCUAGCAUCUUGCACAUUUUGAUACAUGUAAAUCUAACUUGUACCUUCGUUUUAUCAAGUUCCCAUUUUGAUUUCA